rnacentral:miRNA from 1 species
AAUAGUUGGAUAGUUAGGUAA